rnacentral:rRNA from 1 species
UACGUAGGGUGCGAGCGUUGUCCGGAAUUAUUGGGCGUAAAGAGCUCGUAGGCGGUUCGUCACGUCGGCUGUGAAAUCCCGAGGCUCAACCUCGGGUCUGCAGUCGAUACGGGCGGACUUGAGUACUGCAGGGGAGACUGGAAUUCCUGGUGUAGCGGUGAAAUGCGCAGAUAUCAGGAGGAACACCGGUGGCGAAGGCGGGUCUCUGGGCAGUAACUGACGCUGAGGAGCGAAAGCGUGGGGGAGCGAACAGG